rnacentral:rRNA from 1 species
GGGCGAGUGAAGCGGCAACAGCUCAAAUUUGAAAUCUGGCGCAAGCCCGAGUUGYCAUUUGUAGAGGAUGCUUCUGGGCAGCGGCCGGUCUAAGUUCCUUGGAACAGGACGUCAUAGAGGGUGAGAAUCCCGUAUGCGACCGGCUUGCACCCGUCACGUAGCUCCUUCGACGAGUCGAGUUGUUUGGGAAUGCAGCUCUAAAUGGGAGGUAAAUUUCUUCUAAGGCUAAAUACCGGCCAGAGACCGAUAGCGCACAAGUAGAGUGAUCGAAAGAUGAAAAGCACUUUGGAAAGAGAGUUAAAAAGCACGUGAAAUUGUUGAAAGGGAAGCUCACGCAACCAGACUUGUCGGCGGUGUUCCGCCGGUCUUCUGACCGGUCUACUCGCCGCCGGCAGGCCAGCAUCACUUGGGAGCGCCGGAUAAAGGCGUGCGGAAUGUAACCCCUCGGGGUAUUAUAGCCGCGCGCACAAUACGGCGCCUCCCGAGUGAGGUCCGCGCUUCGGCUAGGAUGCUGGCGUAAUGGUUGCUUGAGGCCCGUCUUGAAACACGGACC